CGGACGGGUGAGUAAUGUAUGGGGAUCUGCCCGAUGGAGGGGGAUAACUACUGGAAACGGUAGCUAAUACCGCAUAACGUCGCAAGACCAAAGAGGGGACCUUCGGGCCUCUUGCCAUCGGAUGUGCCCAGAUGGGAUUAGCUAGUAGGUGGGGUAACGGCUCACCUAGGCGACGAUCCCUAGCUGGUCUGAGAGGAUGAUCAGCCACACUGGGACUGAGACACGGCCCAG
rnacentral:rRNA from 1 species